rnacentral:rRNA from 1 species
GACGAACGCUGGCGGCGUGCUUAACACAUGCAAGUCGAGCGGAAAGGCCCUUCGGGGUACUCGAGCGGCGAACGGGUGAGUAACACGUGAGUAACCUGCCCUGGACUUUGGGAUAACCCUCGGAAACGGGGGCUAAUACCGAAUAUGACCUGACAUCGCAUGAUGUUUGGUGGAAAGUUUUUCGGUCUGGGAUGGGCUCGCGGCCUAUCAGCUUGUUGGUGGGGUGAUGGCCUACCAAGGCGACGACGGGUAGCCGGCCUGAGAGGGCGACCGGCCACACUGGGACUGAGACACGGCCCAGACUCCUACGGGAGGCAGCAGUGGGGAAUAUUGCACAAUGGGCGGAAGCCUGAUGCAGCGACGCCGCGUGA